ensembl:lncRNA
CGGGGGAACUUUUCAGCUUGUUGCAACUUCUUGGCCGUUCUCGUGAAACCAGCAGUCACAGAUUAUCUCAAGUCACGGUUACGCAGCAUUUCUGUGUAUUUUUAACAUCCUGAGUCAUUCGUGCGACUUUGUUCCUGCCUAAAUAGAAACGAGGAAGGGAGUCACCGUCCAGGGCUUACUGUUAAGAUGAACGCACCUCUUCUGAAAUCUGUGAAUUAUUCGUUAGGUGGAAUUUCUUUUUUUUUUUUUUUUCUUUUGUUACGGCUGUGACCGUAAUUGUGUGUGGAUUUGAGUGUCUAGGUGCUCCUCCGGGAUUGACGAUUUGGCGUUGGCCGGGGUGUAACAUAUGGGGGCUCGUCCAAUCACUGUGGGGUCCGAGGACCGCUUCAGCCGUCCGCCGUCGCUGGAGGGUCCGUGGGACCGCUCCAGCCUUCAUCCGCCUUCGCUGGGGGGUCCGAGGGACCGCCUCAGCCUUCGUCGUCUGCUGGAGGGUCAGGGGGACCGCUCCGGCCUCCAUCAGUUUCAUCUGCCUCCGCUGGAGGGUCCGUGGGACCGCUUCAGUCUUCAUUUGCCUUCGCUGGGGGGUCCGAGGGACCGCCUCAGCCUUCGUCGUCUGCUGGAGGGUCAGGGGGACCGCUCCAGCCUCCAUCAGUUUCAUCUGCCUCCGCUGGAGGGUCCGUGGGACCGCUCCAGCCUUCAUCCGCCUUCGCUGGAGUGUCCGAGGGACCGCUCCGGCCUUCAUCGGCUUCGUUUGUCUUCGCUGGAGGAUCCGAGGGCCCGCUCCGGUUUUCCGUUUCCACUGGAGGACCCGUCCAGUCAUCAGCGUCGCCUGCGGGACGGUGGCCGGUGCCGUAUGGGCUGGACAUGGAACAAACAUUUUUCGUUGGGGUUGUAUGUUUUAAAUGUUUGUUUUUUUUGGGGGUGUUUCCUUGAAUUAAACAUUUUGGGGUUAAUGUUAAUUCUUGGGUAAGGGGGUGUUACGGCUGUGACCGUAAUUGUGUGUGGAUUUGAGUGUCUAGGUGCUCCUCCGGGAUUGACGAUUUGGCGUUGGUAAUGUGUUGUUUUUGCGUGACUGUUAUGUGUUUCCUACUUUACUUUGAAAGUCUGUG